AACAUGACCGGUGAACAUGUCACACAACGCUACUGGGGAGGAAGCUUAGCGCUCCCUCCCCAGCCCACCGGCCCCGGUCCUUUGGCCGGGCGCCGGAAUACGGCGCGGAAUGUCGCCAAGGAACACUGAUUUGCCGAUGCAGAUGGCGUUACGCGCUUUGCUGCUUAGGCCAAUGGAAAC
rnacentral:misc_RNA from 1 species